rnacentral:rRNA from 1 species
AAACCAGCACCUCAAGUGGUCAGGAGGUUUAUUGGGCCUAAAGCAUCCGUAGCCUGAUCUAUAAGUUUCCGGUUAAAUCCACAUGCUCAACAUUUGGGCUGCCGGAAAAACUGUAGAUCUAGGGAGUGGGAGAGGUAGACGGUACUCGGUAGGAAGGGGUAAAAUCCUUUGAUCUAUUGAUGACCACCAGUGGCGAAGGCGGUCUACCAGAACACGUUCGACGGUGAGGGAUGAAAGCUGGGGGAGCAAACCGGAUUAGAAACCCCGGUAGUCC